rnacentral:lncRNA from 1 species
UGGUGUCUUCCGUACCUCUCCGGCCAUCAACCUUCAACAACGUCAGCUGACCUUCCACAGAUCCAUCCGGUCUCCUCCAGCGGACAAACUUCUACAACGCCUUUCGAACUCCGCUAUCAGCCAACCUUCUGUCGGAUUCCUUGUGCAACUGGAUCUCUUCGGUGGACAGCCCUCAGACAAGCUUCUACAUCAAACAAAUUUCAGAUGGACUUCUCUGGC